CCUACGGGGGGCAGCAGUGAGGAAUAUUGGUCAAUGGCCGGAAGGCUGAACCAGCCAUGCCGCGUGAAGGUCAGUGCCCUAUGGGCGUUAAACUUCUUUUGUGCGGGAGCAAUAAUGGUCACGUGUGGCCAGACGAGAGUACCGUACGAAUAAGCAUCGGCUAACUCCGUGCCAGCAGCCGCGGGAAUAAGGGGGAGGCAAGCGUUAUCCGGGUUUAUUUGGGUUAAAGGGUGCGUAGGCGGGGAGGUAAGUCAGCGGGGAAACGCCCCCGCUCAACGGGGUGAAGUGCCAUUGAUACUGCCUUGCUGGAAUGCGGAUGACGUGGGAGGAAUGUGUGGUGUAGCGGUGAAAUGCAUAGAUAUCACACAGAACACCGAUUGCGAAGGCAUCUCGCGAAUCCGAGAUUGACGCUGAUGCACGAAAGCGUGGGUAUCAAACAGGAUUAGAUACCCGGGUAGUC
rnacentral:rRNA from 1 species